rnacentral:sRNA from 1 species
UCCACUAACUAGGGACCAAGUAUUCAAGCAUAUGAGCCUAUGGGGCCAUGUUCUCAUUCAAACUGUCAUGAGAAUACAAAGUCGAUUCAUCACGAUGAAAGAACCCGCCUGACACCUUCUUUUCAGACCCUCAUCCCCAAAUGCAAGUAGAAUUGAGUUUUUCUUCCCUCAUGGUUUUCAGAUCUAUCUAAUGGACUUAAAACUGGAUCUGAGAGACAUGGAGAUUCUAGCUCUUACUGGCAAGUCUAGUAGCAAUUCUACCCCCUACCUCCAGUUAGAGGAGCUACAGCAGCCAGUCUGAAGAACAGCAGAAUGCCUCUCAAGGUCUACAUAAAGGUGAGCCAACAAUACAGGCUGUGCUCUCAAACCUCCCAGACUUUUGGUGCUCUUUGGCAGCCCCAAGCAUCCAGGCCCUAUACCUGCUGAUGUCUCUCAAUGCCUCUUGGUAUAUGGGCCUUUGGCCUUAUAUCACCUGAAUGUUAACUCAGGAUUCAGAGAAGGGUUCUUCUAUAUAGACCAGCUCUGCCCCAAGUGUGGCAUCCAUCUCUGCUGUUCCUGGCCUUCACCACUUUGCCUCUAAGUCAUCAACGUUCAGCCAUCUUAUGUCCAUGAUCUGCUGGCCCCUAUAGGUGAGAGGCUUCGCCUUCCAAGGUGACUCAGAAUAGUAUAGUAAAGCUGUUACUUCUCUUCCUGGGUGUCUCUGAUUUAUAAUAUAAGGCUCUAAGAACUCUGGGGAUGACAUGGAACAAGUCUAAGAGGAAGGCUAAGGUGAGUGGGGUAGAAAAAGCUCUGACAUCUAGCCUUGAAGCCACACCACACUGAUCAGUGUUGAGAGCUUUUGGUGCCACUUCUAGGGAUAUGACAUUUGUCACUGGGAUGGGACAAGGAUGUAGGCUGAGAUAAGAGUAUUAGAAGCAGUGACCAUGGGGCUUCGUUUACUGCGUUGCCGAAUUGCUACCUUAUGCAAUCUCGUUGCUUCCUCCUUAAUUAUUACCCUGUGUGAUCCUUUUCCUUACUACUUUGCUUGAUUACUUUCUUGUGUGAUCUCCUUGUUUCCUACUUCACUUGAUCACUCUGUCUUGAUCUAAGAACUGACCGUGUGUAUUGGAUGUACCCAGAAGGGUAUAAAAGCAGGCUGGAGAGACAUAAAGCUGCUUCAGCCACUCAGCACUGGCUGGAGUCAUGUUUGUCUAAUUGCCUUUGUCCUUUUAAUCUUCACUCCCUCCCUUGGACCCUGUUGACUGAGCUGGCUUGGUCAGAUGGGUCAUGAACUAAGGCCCGCUUUGGGCUAACCGACCUGGGUUCUUAUCCUGAUGCAGGCCAGGGAUCUCCCUCCCUCCUCCAUCAACAGCAAUGCUACACCAUGCAAUUCUAGGAGGUGCUAUGCAGUGCUAGUCUAAAUGAAUUGCACAGCCUUGCAUGUUUGCAUGCUGCCCACUUUCCAAGGAAGGUGCUUCUGGAAGCCUCCAUCAGACGCUCACUCCAUAUGCCUGACUUUUGUGGUGUUUAGCCUCCCUGCCUCCCUCACAUCCCAGACACGUGAACCACAUGUUUUCUUAAUUGAGGUUGAUUGGGGUAGGUGAGGAUAUGUCUUUUGCUAGACUAUAAGUACCCUGGGAAUGACUAAGCUGAGGGGGACGAGAGGGUAGCAAGGCCCUUAAAGGGGACCAGCAACAGCAAGCAGUACUGGAGAACUUGUCUCUCUGUGCCACAGCAUCUCAUCCCUCUUGAAUGGGGCACCCUGGUGGUGGGGCCCAACAGGUGUUUUAGCAGGUCACCAGGCAACUUAGAUACACAUGAAGUUUGAAAAGCACCCAGCUCCGGAUACCUCAGGGUGUCCUUGUUAUUGCUUCUGAAUGACCAGUUUUCAUUCAACCAAUUUUGGCUGCCCACCUGGGACACCCCCUAUUGCACCUUGGUUUUAGGGGGUCAUCAGGAGCAGCACAGAAAGCUCACGUCAGGGCUGCAGGCAAACAGAGUAGCCAGGCAGCUGUAGCCUCCUCCAAGAGCAGCCUCUCCCUGGUCCUGCUAACUGGGUGGUUAAAUUAUUCAGCAACCAAUUACAGCUUAACAAUGUCCCUGUCUCCCAGCCCAGUGAUUCUCCUGGCUGCCGCCAGCCAUGGCAAACGAUUUCCAACACAAAACAGAGUAUGUUCAGGAAUUUAGCACCAGGGAGGGCCCCCACUAGGCACCCCCCAUGCUUUAUCACAGCCUGCCCACAUAACACCCCCUAUCCUAUCCCCUGAGGCAGAUAUGGGUGGAUGAAUGGGUCAGCCUCCAGACCAUCAGGAACGAACUGGGAAUCCAAACGCUGAACGGGCCUCCAUGGCUAAUCCUAACACUGAACAAUCGGAGGAGAACCAACCGAUGCCCUCCCACUUUAUCCCACGGAUGGGGAAACUGAGGCUGCUGGGUGACUUGACUCCCGCCACACCUACGGCCUACGUCUUUUGACAGUUCUUAACACACGGGACCCCACCAUAGACAUCUAAGUUCAAACAGCCAGCCCUGGAAGAGAUGGGAGACAGGGACAAGUCUUGGUCAAGAACCUUACUCCACCUCUUCACGCGCCAUGCAGGACAUGUGAGAACAUGGCGUUAGGGUGAACAAAUACCCAGGCAGGUUUAUCCUCUUCAGCACAUGUGCUGAGAGGAAAUCUAUCAGUAACCAGAAACCCACUGCCAGGUGGUUCCAAAGGGCAGAGAGAACAUGUUCUGAUGGAAGCAGCCCCCACAGGGAAGACCUCCCCCACACCGUGGGAGGAGAGUUGGGGUGGAGCAGAAGGUGUUACAAAUGCAAGAGUCACCCUUUUGGUUUUGCUCAGAGGCCCCUGGGAGGAAGGGGGCUGGAAAUGGAAUAAGUGUUCUCAGUUUUCCUCCUGUCUCUCAGAAGCCUUUACAUGGAAUUAAAGAAGGUGACAGUAAAAACGAGGCCAAGAAGAACACCAAGGAGAAAAGACUGUGCUCACUCAGACUGUGGGGGCUCAGAAGGCAGGGGGCCCUCUCCAAGUGCUCAGAUAGUGUGGGGACAGGUGGCCUUCCCCAAAGGCACAGACGGGACCAUCAGGCUCCACAAGGACCACAGAGGCAUUCAGACCUGGCCUCGCCCAUCCUGACCAGCCCUUCCUGCCUCCCAGAACCAGCCAGCUUGGCUAGUAACAUACUCUGGGUAUCUUGGGCCUGAGGCAAUACAAGUUCAUUUUGGGUCACCAUGUGUGUGUGUGUCUACUACACUUGUAGAGAAACUAUCAAGUCACCAUGCGUGCCUCCUGUUCGCACCGUCUUUCCUCUGAUCUACCCUAAGCUGAUGUCACAGAAUAAGGGAGUCUGAGAUGCACCAUGCAUCCUCCGGGUUUACAGCCGGUGCCCAGGCCCAUCGGGGCAGGCUAUGCUGUGCUACUGUAACAGUAAACGUGUCCAGGAGCUCGGAAACUGAAUGGUUCUAUGGCUCUACGCGGUUACAUGUGGGGCUUGUUUCUGAAGUCAUAAAAACACUUGAAAUUAGACAGUGGUAAUAGUGGGCUCAGCCACACGAAUGCACUGAGUCCUUGAAAGGCGUGGACUUUGUCUCCUCGGUAAGGAACACAUCAGAUCCAUCUUUCCCUCCACAGCUGCAGACACACAGGGACACUGCCUGGCACCAACCCAGUGCAGGGACACCAUCUAGAACCCUGCUGACUGUCCUGUGAGCUCUGGAGGAGAGAUGUGCCUUCCUGGAAGAGAAACUCCCACUCAGGACUCGGGAGAACCAGCCCAGUGCUCCACUCCAUAACGACAGGGGAGAAAAGCAUCCAGGGAAGACUUAGAGCCAAGAUGCCAUGAAGACCAGAAAAUCAAAGGACAGUUUUCAAAGAGAACAACAGAGGCCAUCACGAUAACAGGUGAGGUUAUAAUCCUGUACCGUAGGCCGCACGGGACACGGGGCAGUUUGACAGGGGUAAGGGCGGUUACACCGUUACACGUGACAGUCAGCAGGUGCUUUCCUAUCACUGAGCAACCUGAGAAGCAAGGAACGGCCCACCCGCCUCCUCACAGAGGGGAGAAUGAGACUGAUUGGAGAGCAAUACUGUGCAGCUGCAUUUGGUAAACUCCAGCCCUGCCUCAAGCAUCGAAGAUUCCCAGAAACUCAAUUCUCACCCAAGUUGGAAACGUAAGGAAGAAGAAAGGAGAGCCAUCUGUUUCUGCAUUGGAUACAAAAGAGUCUUCAGCAAAGAAAGCAACCAGGAGGAAGGGGCUUUCCAGGCUUGUCUGGCCACUCAGUUACUUGAAAGGAAGACCUUCAGAAAACUCCAGCUUCCCCCCAUGACUCAGAAAUGCUUGGCUAAUUAUCGUUUGGGGGCAUGAUGUCUGAGGAGGAAAGGCCCCUGGCUGCCUGAAGUCUGCCCAAGGCCAGGCCCCAUUGCUGGAAGCAGGGCUGUCAGUCAGCUGAUGACAUUCUGAGUUCCACCAACAGUGUCAGGGCCCAGGAGAGAAGCUUCCUGCUGGGACUGGGCAGCAGGGCUCAAAACCCACACCCCGGAGGCUGUCAGUCUGCAGCUGGGAUGGACAGCCCCUCUUAGCUUCUCUCCCAGCUUUCGUCGUCAUAAGACCUGUCCAGCCAGGUGGCCAGGCUCUGAAAGGGUGGCUGUCACUCCACUAACGCCCUGGGCUUUGCCUCAGGGAAGAGAGCCUGCUCAUCAAUUACAGAAUAAAUGACACCUCCUCCACUCACUGCCUCUCACCCAGUUCCCCACCGUAUAGACCUCCUUACCUUGGUGAAUAGAAGCAUGAAGAAGGAGGCUUUUAUCAGGUACCAACACCUUUCUACACCCAGGAAUGUGGUCUACACAUUCCCAGAAUCUUGAGGGAAAGGUCCAGGCAGAAUCUAGACACUGACCAGGCCUGAGACCAAGUGCUCGGAGACCCAUUCUGGAUCCCCACGCAGGUUAGAGCUACCUAGGGAAAGCGCGCCCCAUCAGAGCAAACCAUAAAGCUCUGACUUUGUUCUUUGCUCACACUGCACCCAUUUAGUAAAGUCUAUUCCGGGUUUGGGGAUGAAGACAUGGCUCCUCCAGGACCCACCUCUGUUCUGAGCGCUCACUCAGGCGCUCACAACCACUUGCAACUCCAGUUUCAGGAGGACCUAAGGCCUCUGAGGGCACC